rnacentral:rRNA from 1 species
AGAACGAACGCUGGCGGCAGGCUUAACACAUGCAAGUCGAACGCUCGUAGCAAUACGGGGGUGGCAGACGGGUGAGUAACGCGUGGGAACAUACCCUCCGGUUCGGAAUAGCUCAGGGAAACUUGGAUUAAUACCGGAUACGGCUGGGAGGCGAAAGAUUUAUCGCCGGAGGAUUGGCCCGCGUUCGAUUAGCUUGUUGGUGAGGUAACGGCUCACCAAGGCGAUGAUCGAUAGCUGGUCUGAGAGGAUGAUCAGCCACAUUGGGACUGAGACACGGCCCAAACUCCUACGGGAGGCAGCAGUGGGGAAUAUUGGACAAUGGGCGCAAGCCUGAUCCAGUCAUGCCGCGUGAGUGAUGACGGCCUUAGGGUUGUAAAGCUCUUUCGCUCGGGACGAUAAUGACGGUACCGAGAUAAGAAGCCCCGGCUAACUUCGUGCCAGCAGCCGC